rnacentral:rRNA from 1 species
ACGUAAUAGAUACCCUGGUAGUCCACGCCCUAAACGAUGUCUACUAGUUGUUGGUGGAGUAAAAUCCAUGAGUAAACGCAGCUAAACGCGUGAAGUAGACCGCCUGGGGAGUACGGUCGCAAGAUUAAAACUCACAGGAAUUGACGGGGGCCCGCACAAGCGGUGGAUUAUGUGGAUUAAUUCGAUGCAACGCGAAAACCUUACCUGGCCUUGACAUGCCACUAACGAAGCAGAGAUGCAUUAGGUGCCCGUAAGGGAAAGUGGACACAGGUGCUGCAUGGCUGUCGUCAGCUCGUGUCGUGAGAUGUUGGGUUAAGUCCCGCAACGAGCGCAACCCUUGCCAUUAAUUGCCAUCAUUUAGUUGGGCACUUUAAUGGGACUGCCGGUGACAAACCGGAAGAAGGUGGGGAUGACGUCAAGUCCUCAUGGCCCUUAUGGCCAGGGCUUCACACGUAAUACAAUGGUCGGUACAGAGAGUUGCC